rnacentral:rRNA from 1 species
GGAGUUUGGUCCGUGUCUCAGUACCAAUGUGGGGGACCUUCCUCUCAGAACCCCUACUGAUCGCAGGCUUGGUGGGCCGUUACCCCGCCAACAACCUAAUCAGACGCAUCCCCAUCCCAUAGCGGUGAACCUUUGGUAUUCUUCUGAUGGCAUCGGAAUACAACAUAGAGCAUUAAUCCGACUUUCGCCGGGCUAUUCUCUACUAUGGGGAAGGUUGGAUACGCGUUACUCACCCGUGCGCCGGUCGCCAUCAAUCAAAGCAAGCUUUGAUCAUGCUGCCCCUCGACUUACAUGUGUUAAGCCUGUAGCUAGCGUUCAUC